rnacentral:rRNA from 1 species
GAUCAUGGCUCAGAUUGAACGCUGGCGGCAGGCCUAACACAUGCAAGUCGAACGGUAACAGGGAAGAAGCUUGCUUCUUUGCUGACGAGUGGCGGACGGGUGAGUAAUGUCUGGGAAACUGCCUGAUGGAGGGGGAUAACUACUGGAAACGGUAGCUAAUACCGCAUAACGUCGCAAGACCAAAGAGGGGGACCUUCGGGGCCUCUUGCCAUCGGAUGUGCCCAGAUGGGAUUAGCUAGUAGGUGGGGUAACGGCUCACCUAGGCGACGAUCCCUAGCUGGUCUGAGAGGAUGACCAGCCACACUGGAACUGAGACACGGUCCAGACUCCUACGGGAGGCAGCAGUGGGGAAUAUUGCACAAUGGGCGCAAGCCUGAUGCAGCCAUGCCGCGUGUAUGAAGAAGGCCUUCGGGUUGUAAAGUACUUUCAGCGGGGAGGAAGGGAGUAAAGUUAAUACCUUUGCUCAUUGACGUUACCCGCAGAAGAAGCACCGGCUAACUCCGUG